rnacentral:rRNA from 1 species
UACGAAGGGGGCUAGCGUUGUUCGGAAUUACUGGGCGUAAAGCGCACGUAGGCGGAUAUUUAAGUCAGGGGUGAAAUCCCAGAGCUCAACUCUGGAACUGCCUUUGAUACUGGGUAUCUCGAGUAUGGAAGAGGUGAGUGGAAUUCCGAGUGUAGAGGUGAAAUUCGUAGAUAUUCGGAGGAACACCAGUGGCGAAGGCGGCUCACUGGUCCAUUACUGACGCUGAGGUGCGAAAGCGUGGGGAGCAAACAGGAUUAGAAACCCCCGUAGUCC